UUAGAUGCUAAAUUGAAGAGUGGGAGCUCGUAUACAUGGCAAAGUAUUUGUGCUGGGAUCAACACGUUCAGGAGAGGUGCAAUAUGGCGCAUAGGAGAUGGCUCACAAGUGAAUAUUUGGUCUGAUUCGUGGAUUCAAUCUAGUGCUGAUGGUCGUGUUAUUACUCCACGAGGUACGACUUUGCUGUCUAAAGUAUCUGAACUCAUUGAUCCGGUCACUGGUCUAUGGGACCAAGAAUUGAUACAUAGUGUGUUCUGGCCGGUGGAUGCCCACCGAAUCUUGUCAAUACCAUUGGCACCGAAUGGAAUGAUGGAAGACUUUGUGGCUUGGAGAUUCACAAAGAACCACAUUUUUUCGGUAAGAUCAGCUUAUUAUGUUGAAUGGGAACACCAAUUUGCUCGCUGGUACGAAAGAACAGAGGGCCAACCAUCUCAACGGCACCCGGUUUGGGCAAACCUUUGGAGUUUCCAAGUUCCAGCAAAGAUCAAGAUCCAUGCAUGGAGGGUUCUACAUGGGUUCAUUCCUUGUUAUGGGGUCCUGGUGAACCGGCACAUUGGCACGGCGGAUAGCUGUCCUAUGUGUGCGGGUGGAUGUGAGGACAUUAUGCACUCACUCUUUACCUGCACGAGGGCAGCUGAGAUUUGGAGAUGCCUGAAGCUGGACAAUUUCAUAGAAGAAGCUUGCUCGACUGAUAGGGCGGGAACGGCGGCGUUGGACUAUAUUUUAUGUGCUCCGGCUCGGCUGAGUUCGAUAUCGCAUGCUACUGCCCAAGCUCUUAUCCUUGUGGGCAUUUAG
rnacentral:rRNA from 1 species